GAUGAACGCUGGCGGCGUGCCUAAUACAUGCAAGUCGAGCGAACGGACGAGAAGCUUGCUUCUCUGAUGUUAGCGGCGGACGGGUGAGUAACACGUGGAUAACCUACCUAUAAGACUGGGAUAACUUCGGGAAACCGGAGCUAAUACCGGAUGAUAUUUUGAACCGCAUGGUUCAAAAGUGAAAGACGGUCUUGCUGUCACUUAUAGAUGGAUCCGCGCUGCAUUAGCUAGUUGGUAAGGUAACGGCUUACCAAGGCAACGAUGCAUAGCCGACCUGAGAGGGUGAUGGGCCACACUGGAACUGAGACACGGUCCAGACUCCUACGGGAGGCAGCAGUAGGGAAUCUUCCGCAAUGGGCGAAAGCCUGACGGAGCAACGCCGCGUGAGUGAUGAAGGUCUUCGGAUCGUAAAACGCUGUUAUUAUGGAAGAACAUAUGUGUAAGUAACUGUGCACAUCUUGACGGUACCUAAUCAGAAAGCCACGGCUAACUACGUG
rnacentral:rRNA from 1 species